rnacentral:rRNA from 1 species
CCUACGGGUGGCUGCAGUGGGGAAUAUUGCACAAUGGGCGCAAGCCUGAUGCAGCCAUGCCGCGUGUGUGAAGAAGGCCUUCGGGUUGUAAAGCACUUUCAGCGGGGAGGAAGGCGGUGAGGUUAAUAACCUCAUCGAUUGACGUUACCCGCAGAAGAAGCACCGGCUAACUCCGUGCCAGCAGCCGCGGUAAUACGGAGGGUGCAAGCGUUAAUCGGAAUUACUGGGCGUAAAGCGCACGCAGGCGGUCUGUCAAGUCGGAUGUGAAAUCCCCGGGCUCAACCUGGGAACUGCAUUCGAAACUGGCAGGCUAGAGUCUUGUAGAAGGGGGUAGAAUUCCAGGUGUAGCGGUGAAAUGCGUAGAGAUCUGGAGGAAUACCGGUGGCGAAGGCGGCCCCCUGGACAAAGACUGACGCUCAGGUGCGAAAGCGUGGGGAGCAAACAGGAUUAGAUACCCUAGUAGUC